rnacentral:rRNA from 1 species
UAAGUGGGAAACGAUGUGGGAAGGCCCAGACAGCCAGGAUGUUGGCUUAGAAGCAGCCAUCAUUUAAAGAAAGCGUAAUAGCUCACUGGUCGAGUCGGCCUGCGCGGAAGAUGUAACGGGGCUAAACCAUGCACCGAAGCUGCGGCAGCGACGCUUAUGCGUUGUUGGGUAGGGGAGCGUUCUGUAAGCCUGCGAAGGUGUGCUGUGAGGCAUGCUGGAGGUAUCAGAAGUGCGAAUGCUGACAUAAGUAACGAUAAAGCGGGUGAAAAGCCCGCUCGCCGGAAGACCAAGGGUUCCUGUCCAACGUUAAUCGGGGCAGGGUGAGUCGACCCCUAAGG